rnacentral:rRNA from 1 species
UACGUAGGGCGCAAGCGUUAUCCGGAAUUAUUGGGCGUAAAGAGCUCGUAGGCGGUUUGUCACGUCUGCCGUGAAAGUCCGGGGCUCAACUCCGGAUCUGCGGUGGGUACGGGCAGACUAGAGUGAUGUAGGGGAGACUGGAAUUCCUGGUGUAGCGGUGAAAUGCGCAGAUAUCAGGAUGAACACCGAUGGCGAAGGCAGGUCUCUGGGCAUUAACUGACGCUGAGGAGCGAAAGCAUGGGGAGCGAACAGG